ensembl:lncRNA
AACACACAUAAUAAUGAUGGAUAAGUGACAAAAAGUUUGCAGAUGAGGCAGAGGACUUCUCCCCUCCUGAAUCCCCAGUGCUAAAUGGAGACACAAUAGAUAGCAGUGCAGGUCCUCUGCCCUGUCUACUUGAACCAUUAGCCACUUACGUGACUAUGGAGGAAAACAUAAAACAAAAACGGAGGCAGUGCGGAUGGAAGAAGUGUCGGAAUGGUAGCUAGCUUAUAGGCUCAAGCUUUUCACGAAUAAAAGUGGGAAGGCUCGUCCCUUCAACGCGGACUCACGUUGCAUAGUUUUGUACGUGACGGCCCGCUGGCCCUCACAGAGCUUUAAGCAGUUUAAUUUGCUCAAAAGGCAAGUAAAUGUGUCAUGGUUAAAAAUUAGACACAUACCUCAUUUGAAGGGAUGGAAAAGACAGCAUCUUCUCAUAGGAUAAAAACACGUCAUCAAUGUACUAUAGUACGUUGCCAUGUUACUGCCUGUGAUGUGUGACACGAGAUUUUAAACCCGGAAAAUGAAAAUAGCGGAAAAAAGCUCAAAAUUAACCAGUUUUCCCUAUAAUUAAAAUGCUAAGAUUGUCUUUUAUGAUGUGCGACACUAAUACCUCUGUUAAAAUCUCAGAAAAUGUAGUUUGUUUCAUGACGCUUUAAUGAUCGAAAGGUGGAAGUCGUGUACUGUUGUGUGUUUGUGUUAUUUCGAUGCAGAUGUCUUGUCACGAUUCUCUUCCGCCAUCUCGUGGCCGUGUACACACACACACACACACACACACACUCACACACACACACACUCACACACACACACACACACUCUCUCUUUCUCAGACACGGACACACUCGCUCCUCUCCAGGGUUUUUGGCCAGAAGUUGAGGUACACGUCAGAGUGCAAGCCUUGUACUGGUGAGCCGACGUGUGCGAUGACCUCAGCAGUUUGUGCGCAUCAGCUGACGCUGGCAGACACCGGAAGACAUGCAACGGAAGGUAGAGAUGCCGAUAAACGAAGGUUUCUCCAUCGCUGGCCCCUCAACCACUCCCCGGAAGCGGCAGGUGCGUUUCUCCGCCCGACACGACAUCCUGCUCCUGCGUGAGGUCAUCGCGCAGAACCCGUUCAUCUCGAAGGAGUCCGGCCGGAUCUGGGCUCGGGUGGGUGAGAUCGUUACGACUGCGCUGCAGGAUGAGAACUUUGAGGUGGAUGGACGCAGGUGCAGGGAGAGAACCAUGCUGCUGCUCGACUAUUACAAAAAGCAGGACUUUCCCAGCCUGCGCAGGUUUGGCACGGAGAGGCUUUACGCUCAGAAGGAGGAUCUGCUGCACGAGGUUUUGGAGCUUGAGGCCGAGAAGAACCUGAUGGCAAGUGGUGAAGGGAAAUACCAGGAUGGAGAGAUGAAGAAGAGAACGCUAGAGGAGCUCACACUAUCCGAGCCGGACAAACCCACUGUGCUUCCAGUCGCGGCAGCGGCGCCUACAGUGUCUGGUUCAUUGGAGCCGGAGGAACAGGAGGACCUGGUCGAGCUGUCGGCGCCCACUGCCAAGCGACCAUGCCAGUGCUGCUGCCAGACGUACUCGGAGAUCCUGAGCUUCCUGGAGAAACGCUCGGAAGCCGAGCAGCGGCUGCGUGAAGAGGAAAUGGCACUCCGCAGGGAAGAGCUCGAGAUCCAGCGGAGCAAAAUCGCUCUGGAACGCGAACGACUCGGUGCUGAGAGGAAGGAACGUGAGCGGCGCUUUGAGCUGGAGAGCCAGGAGAGGCAGGUCAUCCUUGAUCUGCUCAAGGAGAAAGUUCUCAAGAGCGAGAAGAACGCUGAGUGCUGACUUUUCUGAACACAGUGCUACAUUACCAAUAGUUUUGGACUCAUUUUGCUAACCUGUUGCUAACAUUUUCCCUCACAAAGAGUUCAUUCUAACAGUAAUGGCUAUUUGGAAUAUUUAAAAGAUUAUUUGGGACAAUGUAUGUAGAUAUUGAGCCAUAAUGUAGUAGCUAGCUAACAACUAGCUAGCUAACUGGCUAAAUAAUAAUUUAUAGAUUGUAGCACUUUACAAAUUGCGUAUCCAAAACACUAGCACUUGAGUUUAGAGCUGGGUGGUAUGACAAAAAUAUCUCGCCAUGAUACAUCAUGACAUUUCAACGAUAUAUAGGUUUACUAACAAACUGCCAGCAAAACACCAGUAAAAAAAACUACUAAAAAGUAACUUUUUUCUACAAAAAUAUAUUAAUACUAAAAAACAAAUAAAAUCAUACUACUAAUACAUUUUAAUAUUAAAUAAAAAUUAUAAUUUAAUAAGGAUUCCGUACAAAAUUUUAACAUCAUAUUAUUUAAAAUCAAACUUAGUUAGAAUAUCAUAACACCAUAUACCAUAAUAUUUUGACAUCAUUUCCAGCCCUACGUGAGUUUUUAUUUAAAAUUAAUUCUAACAAAUAACGGUUGUUGAUAAAACUUUCAAGACUUUGAUACUACAUCGCAAAUAUGACUUGCUAGUAAAGCCACAAGUAUUUCAGAAUGCUAAAUAGAUACAUCCACCAGCUAUAUGUUACAGUGAGCAUAGCUACAUGUCCGUUUUAUUUCAUUAUGCAAUUAUUCAGAUGUUACGUUUCUGAGCCAAUUUUCCAUAUCCAGGUGUUAAAACUAUAAAGAAACUUGUUAGAGUUAGUACUUACUAGCGGUAAAUGAAGAAUCGUUAGCUAGCAUUGUUCUGCAAACCUUAGCUAGCUAUGAUUAGCCAGAGGGAAUUUCCGAGUGAGAAUAACAACCUUGCACUAUUUUAUUGAACACUUGGGGUGUUUUUUUUAAGCAAAAAAAUGUGUUGUAUUAAAAAUUCAAAUAGCAGAAAGCUAAACAUAAUUUGGUCAUGUAUAGUUAAAAAUAGCUUUAAAUAUUGAUCAAAACGAAUGCAAGUCUGGGGGGCAUACACUUUUGCCCAACUGAGAAGAAAUCUUAUUACACCUAAAAAGUUGUGAUGUUUCUAGAAAACUCUGUAGGUUUAAUUCUAAGUUAAAGUGUUUGGGACAGAGCCAUGUUUAGACUACAAAGGAGAGAUUCGAUUGAUUGCAUCAACUGGUGAAAUCAACUGUUAUGAAUCAACUUUGUGCACCUUUCAGCUGCUAGCGUCAUUCCUGUUCUUCCUGUCCUUCCUGAAAUGCAUUUGUUGUUCUCAUAGCAUGACGACCUACAGGAGACAAGGACAUGGGAAUCUCGGUCAAAAAGGAUGGAUCUCAAGUUUUAAAAAAUCAGCUAGCUUAAUGUAAUUACGUUAACGCCACUAACCUUUCAUUUCUUUGUCUUGAUGUACUGUUGAAUGCAAUAUACAACUUGCUCUACUAGAGCUAACAAGGUUACCUAAACAACACUGUGCUACCAUUAGCCAGCUAGCUAGUUAUGUUACUUCUCUAGCAUAACAUUAAGCAGCUAAUCAGGUUUUCUAGAAAUCCUGCUAAUGCUAGGUAAUCUGUUUUUUUAAAACCAAGUUUGCUAGCUCAUGGGAUAAUGUUAGGCUAACAGUUCUAUCCUGCACUUAAUAUCAAUAGCCAAUUUUGGUAGCAAGCUAGGAAAUAUUAGGCUGGAUUUUUUUUAAAUUAGUAACAUUAAACUGGUUUUCACAAAUGUUAUUUUAUUUGUGUAAGAUCAAAGUUUAAACCAGCAGCUAAGUUUGCUAAUCUUAUGUAAAUGAUUUUAUUUUAAAUAAUUUUAUAAAUAAGUGUCCAAAUUCACUAGCAACUAUUUUAUUAUGUAAAUAGAACCAUGCUAACCUCAUUCGCAAGCUAGGGACAUCUGUGAAUUACUUUGGCUGAUCCAUUUUAUCGUAAUUAAAACCAGCAACUGAGCAUGAAAAUGUUGUGUGGCCAAGGUCACAAGCAACUAUUUUAUUGUGUAAGUGCAAUAAAACGCUAAGCUAAGUUCAUUGGCAGACUAGGUAACGCUACGUAAACCGCAUUAUUGUUUAAUCAAAACCAGUGGCCAAAGUAUGGGAAGUUUUGUGACUGAGUUUGCGAUUGGACCCUGCAGUGAUCAAUCUGUUUUCUAGAAAAAUAGCUUACAUUAUGCAAUCUAUUAUAUAUUCAAAAUGUGUUGCUAGCCACCAAGUUUCUAGCAAACUAGCGAUUGUAUCAUUGUGUGUAGCUACUACGAUAGCUAUAUUGAACCAAUAACUAAGUCCGUAAGGUAAGCUAAUUUAACAUAUUUAAAGUAUGGUGAUGUCAUAUGACCAAGUUUGUGAUUGGCUGAAAACAUUUAACUUAAGCUCCACCCUCAUUGAUGCAGUGUCACCCGUAACUAAGCAAAAUCAGGACUCGUUUAAAUGCUGUAAUUUAGUUGCAAUGCUGCAAAAUUUAUGUUAAUUUCCAUGUAAAUUAAAGUCAAAGUGUUGCUGCAUGACAUAAACGACUUUAAAGAUGUACAAACACAUUUUUUUUAGUUGUUGGAAGCUGCUGUAGAUGUGAAGUUUGUUACAUUUGUCAGAUUUAAUGUACAGUUAUAUGUUUGCUGUGAAAUGAUGCAGAACCAUCGGUGUGCAUCACAUAGCCAAGUCUUUGUUGAGAGAUGACAAUAAUUGAUGUUUACGUUGUCUAAGAUUUACCAUGUACUGCCAUUUAAAAAUUGUUUUCUUUUUUUUGCCCAUGUCUUUGUUGCACUCAUAGAGUUGAAGCAACUACUCUGGCUAAAAUAAAUGUUAAUAUUAACAAUAAUAUUCCAGGGCUUCACUUAUAUGUAUUUUUAGCUAUAUUAUUUUUGCUAAAUGAAAAUUAGUUGAUACUACUGAAAUGUAACAUGAUAUAUAAUUAUUUGGAUUACACAGCUUUAUAUUGUGAAUAAAAGUUUGAAUAAUUGCUUUGCAUUCUAUAUGUCAUUAUAAUAAGUUAUUAAGGCUGGUGUUGGUUUCUGCAUUCAGUGUUACCAAUGUUAUCACUAGAUUUGGUGGCUUUUGUGAAUAUAUUUCAAUUAAGUGAAACAAAUCUUGCAACGUUUUG